GAUGAACGCUGGCGGCGUGCCUAAUACAUGCAAGUCGAGCGAACAGAUGAGGAGCUUGCUCCUCUGACGUUAGCGGCGGACGGGUGAGUAACACGUGGAUAACCUACCUAUAAGACUGGGAUAACUUCGGGAAACCGGAGCUAAUACCGGAUAAUAUAUUGAACCGCAUGGUUCAAUAGUGAAAGACGGUUUUGCUGUCACUUAUAGAUGGAUCCGCGCCGCAUUAGCUAGUUGGUAAGGUAACGGCUUACCAAGGCAACGAUGCGUAGCCGACCUGAGAGGAUGAGCACGCACACUGGAAAUGCGGCACGGUGCGGACACCUACGGGAGGCAGCAGUGGGGAAUAUUGGACAAUGGGCGCAAGUCUGAUGCAGCGGUACCGAGGGGGUGAAGAAGGCCUUCGGGUUGUAGAGCCCUGUGGUGGGGAAAGAAAAGCAGCAGGGUAAUACCACGCUGUGCGGACGGUACCGAAAGAAUAAGCACCGGCUAACUUCGUG
rnacentral:rRNA from 1 species